GAUGAACGCUGGCGGCGUGCCUAAUACAUGCAAGUCGAGCGAACAGACGAGGAGCUUGCUCCUCUGACGUUAGCGGCGGACGGGUGAGUAACACGUGGAUAACCUACCUAUAAGACUGGGAUAACUUCGGGAAACCGGAGCUAAUACCGGAUAAUAUAUUGAACCGCAUGGUUCAAUAGUGAAAGACGGUUUUGCUGUCACUUAUAGAUGGAUCCGCGCCGCAUUAGCUAGUUGGUAAGGUAACGGCUUACCAAGGCAACGAGGCGUAGCCGACCUGAGAGGGUGAUCGGCCACACUGGAACUGAGACACGGUCCAGACUCCUACGGGAGGCAGCAGUAGGGAAUCUUCCGCAAAGGGCGAAAGCCUGACGGAGCAACGCCGCGUGAGUGAUGAAGGUCUUCGGAUCGUAAAACUCUGUUAUUAGGGAAGAACAAAUGUGUAAGUAACUAUGCACGUCUUGACGGUACCUAAUCAGAAAGCCACGGCUAACUACGUG
rnacentral:rRNA from 1 species